UGGGGAAUUUUGGACAAUGGGCGAAAGCCUGAUCCAGCAAUGCCGCGUGUGUGAAGAAGGCCUUCGGGUCGUAAAGCACUUUUGUCCGGAAAGAAAUCCUUGGCUCUAAUACAGUCGGGGGAUGACGGUACCGGAAGAAUAAGCACCGGCUAACUACGUGCCAGCAGCCGCGGUAAUACGUAGGGUGCAAGCGUUAAUCGGAAUUACUGGGCGUAAAGCGUGCGCAGGCGGUUUGCUAAGACCGAUGUGAAAUCCCCGGGCUCAACCUGGGAACUGCAUUGGUGACUGGCAGGCUAGAGUAUGGCAGAGGGGGGUAGAAUUCCACGUGUAGCAGUGAAAUGCGUAGAGAUGUGGAGGAAUACCGAUGGCGAAGGCAGCCCCCUGGGCCAAUACUGACGCUCAUGCACGAAAGCGUGGGGAGCAAACAGGAUUAGAUACCCUGGUAGUCCACGCCCUAAACGAUGUCAACUAGUUGUUGGGGAUUCAUUUCCUUAGUAACGUAGCUAACGCGUGAAGUUGACCGCCUGGGGGAGUACGGUCGCAAGAUUAAAACUCAAAUGAAUUGACGGGGUCAUAGCUGUUUCCU
rnacentral:rRNA from 1 species